UUUUCGGAGGUACUCGAGUGGCGAACGGGUGAGUAACACGUGGGUGAUCUGCCCUGCACUCUUGGAUAAGCCUGGGAAACUGGGUCUAAUACCGGAUAGGACCGCACUUUAGUGUGUGUGGUGGAAAGUUUUUUCGGUGUAGGAUGAGCCCGCGGCCUAUCAGCUUGUUGGUGGGGUAAUGGCCUACCAAGGCGGCGACGGGUAGCCGGACUGAGAGGUUGGUCGGCCACAUUGGGACUGAGAUACGGCCCAG
rnacentral:rRNA from 1 species